rnacentral:rRNA from 1 species
CUGGCGGCAUGCCUUACACAUGCAAGUCGAACGGCAGCACGGGAGCAAUCCUGGUGGCGAGUGGCGAACGGGUGAGUAAUAUAUCGGAACGUGCCCAGUCGUGGGGGAUAACGUAGCGAAAGCUACGCUAAUACCGCAUACGAUCUAUGGAUGAAAGCGGGGGAUCGCAAGACCUCGCGCGAUUGGAGCGGCCGAUAUCAGAUUAGGUAGUUGGUGAGGUAAAGGCUCACCAAGCCGACGAUCUGUAGCUGGUCUGAGAGGACGACCAGCCACACUGGGACUGAGACACGGCCCAGACUCCUACGGGAGGCAGCAGUGGGGAAUUUUGGACAAUGGGCGCAAGCCUGAUCCAGCAAUGCCGCGUGCAGGAUGAAGGCCUUCGGGUUGUAAACUGCUUUUGUACGGAACGAAACGGUGAGCUCUAAUACAGUUUGCUAAUGACGGUACCGUAAGAAUAAGCACCGGCUAACUACGUG